CUGAGGACCUUACACUGCUUUUCCUGACGCCCAUCUGAGUUCUGUGCCUYGGAACUGAAGCCUGCUCACAGGCACAAUCUUGCAAAGGCCCCGGCAAGAAGGAGAGACAGACGGCACUGAGUUGGAGAACCACAUUUUCAAACUCUGGAUGGGACCAGAAAGAACAGGGAUAAAAAAGGAAUUGAAAGCCACCGUCACAGGCAGGCCCCACACUGCCUGCAAGCGCUGACCUCAGUGGCGCCAGAUGCAUACACUGUUUGUAUGACCUUUGACCUGUGGAAUCAGUCUGUGGCAAUGACCCUUAUGUGCUCCACCCUAGAGCAGAACCUUAUGGAAAUCAAACAUCCCAUGAACACCCAGCUGCCCCAUAGGCGUGGAUGUUUAAAUGGACGGAGUAGAAAGAGGCUUCAAGUCCUGCUCAGCCCCUAAUGGCCCACGAGAACAGCCAGCGAUUCCACCUGCCGGAGCUGGAGCCACCACUCACUGCCUCUCCUGCAGCCUGCAGAGGAAUGUUCUGUGUGGCACGGAGGAUCGUGAGGAUGCAGCAAGGUAACCAGAGCGCCAGGUGCACACAGAGAAGGAAGUCAAAGCUCCUCCCAGUCGGACACAAAUUCUAGGAUCCA